ACACAGGAACACAAACUGGAAUCAACUGCUGGAUGUACUCCAGCCCUGGAACCAUAGGAAGGGACCUGAGAAGACAGAAUUGAUUUACAGCGUCAUCUGGCUCUAACCCGGUGAAAGCCAACUUGUCUUCCUCUGAAUUGAUAUAAUUACCAACAUGAGGGAAAGCAGCUCCUUUCUUCAGGUAAUCUAAGAAGUGAGAGGGAAAAGAAAUGAGACAUUCCGAGAGAGGAAAAGAAAAAGGAAACCGAAUGUAACUGCAAGCCUAGUGAUUGAUUCUCCUGAAGCAGAAGGGAGACAUAGCUUAAUGUUGCAAGGAGCCAUGGCUUUGAUGCCUUUCUGGAAUCUGUACUUUUGACCAUGACAACUGGCCUCUUUGUGAUCUCCUGAGAAAGGAUCCCAGUUCACUGUUUUGGACCUGGACAAUGCCAAGCCAUGUCUUUAUCAGAGAGUCAGCUGCUCUUCUCCCCCAGCACAGGUAUCACUGUACUAGCUCUACAGCUGCAUGGUAUAGCGCAAGGAUGGGAUGAAGGCCAGAUUGAUGCCCCAGUGCCUCUACUCACGGAUGGAUGACCCAGGCAACCUAAGAAGCUCUAGCAGUGGCUCAAGAGGGACCCACAGUUGAAAAGUUGCUAAUGGAGCUACUGACAUUGACACCACCACCACAGACCAACAAACUCCUGUUCUACAACCAGAAGAAUCCCAUGUACUAGCUGGAUGCACCCAUGAGAGCUCAGCCAUGCUCCUAUUAGAGUACCACA